rnacentral:lncRNA from 1 species
GCCAGUCUCGCCUCCCAUCUCCACGCUCCCAUCGUUCCGAGUGAUUCAAGCAUCCCAGCAUCACGCGUCCGUCUUCAUCUCCCGCUUCAUCACCGGCAUCUUCCCAAGCCUCGCGAUCCCCUGCUCCCAUUUCUUCCGCCCGUGAUGCAGCACCAUCUCAUUUCCUUCCGUUGAUCCCGCUGCCUCGAGUCCGUGAUCAACGUCCCAGCCAUCCGAGAAGGCUCCUCCCAGCAGCCGGUAAUCCAGCUCCUUCCAUCGGCCAGCCUCUUCCGAAUCCCCUUUCAUCCCAGAUUCCCAGCGGCCAGCCCCUCCUUCCCGUGAUCCCGCCUCACAAGCACUGCAUCCGUGAAUGGCGUCUUCCCAGCGCGUCCCCAACUUCCCUCACAGCCAUCCAUCCGCCCGUGAAGCAUCCGCAUCUCUCCCAGAGUUCCAGCAAUUUCCCAUCAUCCACCGCGUCCGUAAUCAAC